UAACUCAGCAGGUCAGGCAGCAUUUUUGGAGAGAAUGAUUAGGUAACAUUUUCGGCUGUGUACCUGCUAUGA